rnacentral:rRNA from 1 species
AGAGUUUGAUCCUGGCUCAGGAUGAACGCUGGCGGCGUGCCUAAUACAUGCAAGUCGAGCGAACGGACGAGAAGCUUGCUUCUCUGAUGUUAGCGGCGGACGGGUGAGUAACACGUGGAUAACCUACCUAUAAGACUGGGAUAACUUCGGGAAACCGGAGCUAAUACCGGAUAAUAUUUUGAACCGCAUGGUUCAAAAGUAAAAGACGGUCUUGCUGUCACUUAUAGAUGGAUCCGCGCUGCAUUAGCUAGUUGGUAAGGUAACGGCUUACCAAGGCAACGAUGCAUAGCCGACCUGAGAGGGUGAUCGGCCACACUGGAACUGAGACACGGUCCAGACUCCUACGGGAGGCAGCAGUAGGGAAUCUUCCGCAAUGGGCGAAAGCCUGACGGAGCAACGCCGCGUGAGUGAUGAAGGUCUUCGGAUCGUAAAACUCUGUUAUUAGGGAAGAACAUAUGUGUAAGUAACUGUGCACAUCUUGACGGUACCUAAUCAGAAAGCCACGGCUAACUACGUGCCAGCAGCCGCGGUAAUACGUAGGUGGCAAGCGUUAUCCGGAAUUAUUGGGCGUAAAGCGCGCGUAGGCGGUUUUUUAAGUCUGAUGUGAAAGCCCACGGCUCAACCGUGGAGGGUCAUUGGAAACUGGAAAACUUGAGUGCAGAAGAGGAAAGUGGAAUUCCAUGUGUAGCGGUGAAAUGCGCAGAGAUAUGGAGGAACACCAGUGGCGAAGGCGACUUUCUGGUCUGUAACUGACGCUGAUGUGCGAAAGCGUGGGGAUCAAACAGGAUUAGAUACCCUGGUAGUCCACGCCGUAAACGAUGAGUGCUAAGUGUUAGGGGGUUUCAGCCCCUUAGUGCUGCAGCUAACGCAUUAAGCACUCCGCCUGGGGAGUACGACCGCAAGGUUGAAACUCAAAGGAAUUGACGGGGACCCGCACAA